CUAUACUCUGUAUGUAUAUGUAUAUAUAUAUAAUAUGGAAUUUCCUCAUUUUACAAAUGCUCAUUUUAUCCUUAUUACUGUUAUUAAGGGCAGUUUUUGCCCGUAUAAUAUCCCAAUGGAUUUUCUCUUUAUGCACAUCAUCGGGGGCGCACGGAGCUCUAUCAAUGUUUGGGGCCGGAUCACAUAUGCUGGGUGGAAGGUGUAGUACAGCCGACGGGCUGGACAGGAGGAGUUCUUGUGCAGUGACAGUACUUGAGAUGCACCAACAACAUUAGCAGUGUCUUCAAAUCUCAACUUAGGGUUUGAGCUGCAUACAGUCUGCUUAUACAAGAUCCAUUUGAACUUCUUGACAUCAGAAUGUCUAUUAAAUAUAAAAUAAUACAGCACUUUCCACAGUUUGGCUUCAACUCUGUUUAUUUUUCUAACGUUUUCGAUGUAUUACAUCCUCUUC
rnacentral:lncRNA from 1 species